rnacentral:rRNA from 1 species
GUAGGUGGCAAGCGUUGUCCGGAAUUAUUGGGCGUAAAGCGCGCGCAGGCGGUCCUUUAAGUCUGAUGUGAAAGCCCACGGCUCAACCGUGGAGAGUCAUUGGAAACUGGGGGACUUGAGUACAGAAGAGGAAAGCGGAAUUCCAAGUGUAGCGGUGAAAUGCGUAGAGAUUUGGAGGAACACCAGUGGCGAAGGCGGCUUUCUGGUCUGUAACUGACGCUGAGGCGCGAAAGCGUGGGGAGCAAACAGGGAUUAGAUACCCUGGUAGUCCACGCCGUAAACGAUGAGUGCUAAGUGUUAGGGGGUUUCCCGCCCCUUAGUGCUGCAGUUAACGCAUUAAGCACUCCGCCUGGGGAGUACGGCCGCAAGGCUG